rnacentral:lncRNA from 1 species
AUCUCCUGUCCCUUGGGCCCUGGGCUGCCGCCGGCCCGGCGGCCACGAUGGAUGGGAAGAAAGAUAAUGCUUUGGAAAAUGAUUUUUUUCUUUCUUCUUCUUUUUUUUUUCCCCUCAAAGAAAUGGAAGAAACCUGUGCGGUUUGCAAAUCUGCUGACCCAGCAGGAGGCGUAAAUUGAACCACCUGGUGUCAGGAAGAGGCCUGAGCCAGGGAUGGAAACUCCCCGGAGGCGGAUUCCAGCCUGUUUGGGGAGAAAGCGGGGCACGUGGGAACCAUCCCGGGGCAGCGCCGGCUGGGGGGGCGGUGGGCACAGGCACAGGGUCCGGGUGGAGGCGCGUUCCCAUUCCGAGGAGAGUGGCGCUGGGUCUCGUCUCUGGGUGCAGUGAGCUGGCUUUCUGGGUCCUGCCACCCACAAUGGGCUCAGGCCUGCCCCGGGCACAUGGAGGCUCCCGCCUGCCUGGGGUGCGGUGAACAUGGUCCAAGAACCAGGGUGUCCGUGCCACGAAGGGUGUGACACAUUCCAGCCUGGGUGGCACCCCUGUCCCUGUGUGGGGACACGACCCCCAGCAUUCAUGGGGACUGGGGACCUCACGCUCAUCCUUCCUGCCUCUAUUUCUGGGGGCAUCUUUCUCGCCUCCUGAGCGUGGCUCAUCCCCUGGCCUCUGUGCUGCUGUGGGGUCUCCCAUCCCUGCCUCUCCGACCCCCCUCUGUCUCCUUCCCAGCUCCUCCUCCUCUGCCCACCCUGUCCCUGGGGUACCUCUGGCCUCCUUUCGCCAUCUCCCUGGACACGCCAAGGACCUGCCCCUCCGCCCCCAGCGCCGACUGCGGCCUGGAGCCUUGGAUCCAGCACCUGCCUCUGGGAUGUUCCCCGGAGGCCCAGCUGAGACCCGGACCUGCCCCCCCGUCCUCCUCACUCUUCACGCAGCCGGGGGUCCAAAGGCUGCAGGACCCAAGCUCUGGAACCUUCCCACGAGCCUGCUGAGUAGGGCCCUUUGCCCCGGGGGCCCUGGCUCUGAGUUCGGGCUCCACCUCCCAGCCCCCUUCCACCACCCACGUGGCUGGCUGAGCGUCCAUCCACCUGCCCUGUGCCGCGGGCGGGGGGCUUUCAGGAGGCCGGGCUGUGCCCCAACAAUGCUGCUUUGUGCCAAGAGGGACCCAGAGCCUUGUAAAGGAGGAGCCCCUGCCACCAUCUCCCCAGUUUUGGAGGCACUUCGGGGGAGCAGGAGUUCCCAGGAUUCUUGAGGGCUGUCUGCAGCCCCUG